GUUCAAUUUUAAUUCUGAUGGAUAUAUAUAGAGAGGCGGAUCACAUAGAAACGAUGUUAAAUCAUCUUCCGAAAAAAAAAAUCGAGAAAAAUGAAUAUUUAGGGUGUGUUCGGUAACCAUUAUAAAAAUGGUUUUCUGUUUUUUUAAUCAAAAAUUUAAAAAUAUAAAUAAAAAUUGUGUUUGGUAACUCCAUUUUAUUUUUUGUUUUUAAAAUUAAAAAAUAGAAUUCAGUGAAUUUUAAAAACAGAUUUUAGAUGAUUUUAAAAAAUUUUAAAAACACUUUUACUUCUCUCUCUCGUUAGUCAUUCUUCAGAGUAGUUUCCAUGGCUUCAACUUCACCAUUACAAGAUUUGAAAAUGAAAAAAUGAGAAGAGCAUGACAAUGAAAGUGGUUUCUUAGAGAGAAAGAUCUUUUUGCUAUUACAGAUGGCAGGAACAGAUAGUGAGGUGGUUAUUAUUGAUAAUAGCGAAGCUUCUGUUUGGCCUGAAAAACAUGAAGAAAUUUUUAUUGAACUUAUGGAAGAAGAAGUUUUGAAGGGAAAUAGGAAUACUAUAACCUUUACAAAGCAAUCGUGGAAGCAUAUAAAGGAGGAGCUAUAUUUACAAGCGAAGAGAAGUUACACUGAUAUGCUGAUCAUAAAUGGAGAGCAAAUCGACGAUGAAGAUAAUGAGUGAAAAUUAUUAACAAUUAGAAUUUUUUUAAUAGUUUUCUUCAAUAUUAGACAAUUAUUAGUUCAUAUUGUAUUAUGACUUUGUCAGUUUUAUGUUAUAAAUAAUGAGUUUCGUGAUUUUAAAUUA